UCCGUAGGUGAACCUGCGGAAGGAUCAUUACAAUGAAGCGGCCGGGCUCGCCCGUGCCCGCUCUCAAACCCGUGUAUACCAGCCAGUUGCUUCGGCGGGCCGCUGGGUUCGCCCACCGACGGUUUCGACCGUCGAGCGCCCGUCCGGGGACCGCCAGAAUCAGUGUCACCCGCAGUCCGAGAAACGCGAGAAUAAACAAAACUUUCAACAACGGAUCUCUUGGUUCCGGCAACGAUGAAGAACGCAGCGAAAUGCGAUAAAUAAUGUGAAUUGCAGAAUUCAGUGAAUCAUCGAGUCUUUGAACGCACAUUGCGCCCCUCGGUAUUCCGAGGGGCACGCCUGUUCGAGCGUCAUUCCAACCCCUCAAGCCCCGGCUUGGUCUUGGGCACCGUCCCCCCGUGGGCGCGCCUCAAAGUCGUCGGCGGAGCUGUGGCACCGAGCGUGACGAAAUCACCAACUCUGUGCCCGGCCCUGCCCGCAGAAUCUCAAGUUGACCUCGGAUCAGGCGGGAAUACCCGCUGAACUUAAGCAUAUCAAUAAGCGGAGGA
rnacentral:rRNA from 1 species